rnacentral:rRNA from 1 species
GAGAUUUUCGCAAUGCCCGAAAGGGUGACGAUGCGACGCCGCGUGGAGGAUGAAGGCCUUCGGGUUGUAAACUCCUGUCAGGACAAAAGAAGGGAAGGGGAGGAAAGUCCCCGACCUUGACUCAGUCCAAAGGAAGCCCCGGCUAACUCCGUGCCAGCAGCCGCGGUAAGUCGGAGAGGGCGAGCGUUGUUCGGAAUUACUGGGCGUAAAGGGUGCGUAGGCGGGUCCGCGUGUCAGGGGUGAAAUCCUCCGGCCCAACCGGAGAACGUCCUCUGAAACUGUGGACCUUGAGCGAAGCAGGGGGGAGUGGAACUCUCGGUGGAGCGGUGAAAUGCGUUGAUAUCGAGGGGAACGCCGGCGGCGAAGGCGACUCCCUAUGCUUCUGCUGACGCUGAAGUACGAAAGCCAGGGGAGCGAACGGGAUUAGAUACCCCGGUAGUCCUGGCCUUAAACGUUGGGCACUAAGUAGAGGGGUUUUA